rnacentral:lncRNA from 1 species
AGUGAUGUUCAAGAUAAAGUGUUCAUUCAGGUUGUUACAAAGGAAAUUCCCAGGAUGGGGAGUUUGGUGUCUACGGGCUAUUGAGGUUGGAUAAGGAUUGAGUCAAAGGGCUUCUGAGCUUCAAGUUAGCAUCGACAUCAGCUGGAAAUUCUGGAGAAGAAGAAUCAAUAGAUUUGUAGUCACGAUCACAGUAAGUGUGACAAACCAAAGAUGACGUUGAACAUGUAGCGUCAGAGAAAGCAGAUGGCGUUCGUUUGUGGUAGACAACAAC